UGGUACUUAAAGCGAGGUUGCCCUUUGUAUAUUCGGGUUUUUGACAUAGAAUAUACAAGGGCAAGCUCUCUGUGAGUAUCAAA
rnacentral:pre_miRNA from 1 species